rnacentral:tRNA from 1 species
GAGGGCAUAGCUCAGUGGUAGAGCACAUGCUUAGCAGCAUGCACGAGGUCCUGGGUUCAAUACCCAGCACCUCCA